GUAGGAUCUGAUAUUUACGUUAUAGUGUGCUUUGAUUUGAAAUUGGAAAAUGAGGUAGGAAUUUUUCGACACGAGAACUUUUAACAUCUUAGAGCACCUUGGAAGCAGAGGGUCUCCGAGCAGCAAUGGCCAGCAGUUCGGACGAUAGCAGCGACGAGAUCGAGGACGACUUAAACGAUGAAAACCGCCAGAUACUGAAAUCAAUUGACAGCCUUGAAGACCAAUACAAGACAUACAGGCCGAAGGACGCCGAAGAAAAUGAAAAUAGUGCAAAUAUAGGACCGAUCCAGUCUUGUCCGUAUUCAAACGCAUCGAAGGAACGUUCGGACAAAUCGAAGCGCACGAGUAGGCAUUUCCUAAAUUAUCGCAUAGCUUCGGGGCAAGGGCAGCAGCAGCAGAGCACCGUCAUGGCACAUCAGGGCUAUAGCUUCAGUGAAUAUCCCAUCUGCAGAAACAGCUCGUGUGCACAGAUCGAGAACGACUCCUACGUGUCGCAGAGCGAGAGCUGCUUCUGGGCCGGCGAGGCCGGAGGCAACAGCCGGCCACUGCCCGAAAGCGGCUCGCGAUCGGACGACACCAUUGUCAAUCGUCCGGGUGUGUGCGCCACAUCAGGCGGCGAGGAGCAGUCGGACAUCUCGGCCCAGUGCUCGUGCCUGGGCUCUUGCUGUUGCUGUCGAAUGCCGGAGCCGAUUGGCCCCGGACAGGAGCUGGCGUCGCCGGGUCCCAUGACCUUUGCGCCCUUUCCGUUCAUGCCCAUGGGCAUGCCCAUGUUCUGCCCAGGAAACGGCGGGCCUGCAGGUGGGAUGUACGCCAUGUCAGCCUCAGCGAAUGGGAUGUACGCCAUGCCUGCCUCAGCGAAUGGGAUGUAUGCCAUGACAGCAGCAGCAGCAGCACCGGCAGCAGCCAUGGGCAUGGAUCAGGACGCAGUGGCAGGACGUGGUGCGGCGGGCCAGGCGCCAAGCAAUUCCGAGGUCAACAGCAGCUACAACAACGCUGGACCCUCGCCGAGUGGCUACUCGGGCAUGUCGGGCAAUGCUGCUCAGCCUUCAGCCCCGAUGGGCAGCUAUCCGGUAAUGCCCGGGGCCUACCAUCCGUCCAUGGCUGGGCCCGGCGCAGACCAGAACUCGCAGGGCCCUGAUGCUGCUGCCGCCUACGAUUAUGUGCAAAAGUAUAACCAAAGUAUUCAGCAGUUUUUGGCCACGGCCGAGCAGAACGCUCAGCAGUCCUUGGCCCAGGCCCAGGCCCAGGCCCAGCAUGCCAAUCCACAGGUGUUCAACAAUCUCCAGCCAGGUAUGCCGCCAGGCCUUGCCCCCGCAGGCGCUAUGGGAGCUCAGCCAUAUUAUCCGGGCCUUCAGGAGGGCUUCGCCAAUAGCUCGAUGGGCCCUCCACAAUACUUCCCCAAUGCCAUGUCGAUGGGGAUGCCGUCCAUGCAGCCCACAGCCCUCUAUGGCAUGAAUUCAGCCAGCAGCAGCAGCAGCAGCAGUAGCAGCAGCAGCAGUGCCUACUACGGCUCGCAAGGGCUCUCUGCGGGCGGCGCCUUCAACGAUUCUCUGCAGACCCAAACGGUGUACUCCACGGACUAUAAGCCCUUUGCGGCACAGGGCAAUAAUUUCAAUCACUUUCCCAACGGCAUAGACAUUGGCUUGCCAGCCGAUUCCUGUCCGGCCUACGGCUCCGUGGGCCCUGUACCGGGACCUGGUGCCGGUGUCCCGCCUGAGAUGUGCAGCCAGCUCUAUGGCAUGGGCAUGGGCAUGGGCAUGGAUGUGGGCAACAGCUCAGCCUAUCCCCUCAGUCAAAUGAGCUAUGCGAGCUAUCCCUGCGAGAUGCCAAUGCCGGGGGCACCGUCUGCCGGUGGCUAUCUUCCCUCGUUCAAUAUGUCUGGCAAAUCAAUCUAGAUUGGAAGAAACCUCUUAAUUCUCACCGAAAAACUCUCUAAAAUGCCAUCGGGGUCACCAAAAGCCACUCAAAGCCACACACCAAAUAUUUCUCUAACUAAAUUCAAUUCAAAAUCAAUGUAAAUCGAAAUUAUCUGCUCAAAAAUACAAAAUAGGCAAAUAGAAAA